AAGGGGUGGGGUGGAGGCAGGCAGGGGAGAAGAGGGGGGAGAGCUGGCAAGAGAGCUCACCCUCCUGCCCCUGGGCUGGUGCUCUCACCCGGGCAGCUAGUGGGCAAGGAGUUUUUGGCAACCUUGAACAUUUAUGGCCACCUUUAUACCCAAACCUUCAUACCUUACACUCCUGUAAAGGAGGCGUGACCCCGAAUAUAAGACGAAAACGUAGCCAUGCAGCCAUGACCAACAGCAGCCGACACCCAGACUUUCGGCCUUAGUCACGAGCUAUGAAGUUCUCAGGUUUAAGCAGCAGAAGAGAAGAACAAGUUCGUUCUUCGCCGACCUCCUGGUUCCAAGCCUGGCUUCUCCCUCUACAGUGUCCUUCCCUUCCAGCGCUUUCUGGGUGGGAAUCCUGCCCUUUCCUCCAUUUUUCCUCCUGGGCCCAGGGACCUGAGCAAGGACCCCACGGUUGUGGCUGUCGCUGGUCGGGAGUUCUCAGCAGCUGGAGGUGCUUGCCGGCCCAUGCGGUGCUCGGGCCGAGGACAGGCACUGGGCUGGUGACAGUGGUAAAUCACCAGCCCACGUGCCUCACUUCAAGACCAUAUGGACCUUCUCGUCAGGCUGAGACAUUUUUCAUCUUGAUUGACAAUUACCUUCCCCCAGAAGUUCAGGGAAGCCCGGCUGCAAUGGCACCGUGUACCAUAAAACCAGGGAAACGAAACGGGAGUCAUUAUUUGAUGAAUAUGGUCCGUGGCAGCUGGCUGAGGAGCCACCACCGGGCUGCCUCUGUCCACGGGUUUGCCUUUCUGGACACUUCGUGUAAGCAGAACCAUGCGACGUAUGAUGACGUUGGUGACGUCAUCUCUCACCUAGCACGGUGUCGCCCAGCCUUGCGGGCGUCGCGGCAUCCGUCAGCAUCGAGGGGAUGCCGACACUGUUUCCCAUCCAUCACUGAUGCCCUGGGCCGCUCCCACUGCUGCAGCUGUGGCCAGCACUGCUGGCACAUCACGUGUGCUUUUUUGCUCGA